GUUGAAAAGAAUCUUCAUUUUUAAUCGCUCAAUGCUACUGUUUAUUAAAUUCAGAAAGGCAUUUACGUAUGCAGUUUAUAAAAAGAUGUUGAUAUUUUAUUCAAUAACAGUAUGCUUUUCAAAUUCGUUAAAAUAAGUGCAUGUAAAAUAACUACAUAACAAAUGAUGCGAUAAAAUAUGACUGGAAAUCAUAACAUUGGAUACGUUAUGAACUGAUAUGAGCAAAGAAUUUUGUUGAAAUGAGUGGUAUCUGAAAAUGUUAAUUUCUACUUACCGCAUCUCUGUUUCUGUCUACAACAUAUAGCUAGUAACUUAAUCAGUUACACUGGAUUGAAGAUUCCAAGACUUUUCUGACUUCAAACAAGGACAGAAAAAAGGUAAAAAUCAAGUCCGUGAAAACGUUUUAAUGGAUUUAUCUACUCAACUCAUGCAGGGAAGUUCAAAUGACGGAUUAGUACGAAAGCAUGUUAAACCAUAUCCUUUUGCCUUCAUAACGGCGUUGAAAAGGAAAUUGGAAAUAAGUGGAUAUUCUGACAACUGUAAAAAAGCACGUGAGCCCUCAAAAAAUAAACAAGAGGUAAUAAACUUAGAUGAGUUAAAUGUUAAUUUAAAUCAAAGGCAAACAUUUUCUCAAUCCAAUAAAAAAAUGGAUCUCAUAAAACCAUUAAAAGUGCCAGAUUUAAAAGUUACUCCAAAGAUUUUAGAUUACUCUAUGUGUGAAAGUUCAUCGUUGAGUGAAGCGUCUCUAAACAAAUUUGAUAUGCUUUCAAAGGAUUACAUACCAAAACAAGGAAAAGCAGCUAAAACUUUGGAUAGGGUUCAACGCAAGCUAGAUUUCUCAUCCUCAAAUCUGUCUCUAUUAAAUGAUGAGAAUGUCGAAGGUCUAGAAACAUUAGAUUUUUCUGUUCAACCUAAUGUAGUCAAAAAGAAAGAUUACUUAAGAGACAACUCUAAAGAAAAAGAGAACAGGUCUAAGAGGAUUAAAAGGGAUGACUCGAGUAUUUCUAAAGCUGAUAGCUCUUUAAAAAACAUAUCGAAAAGAAUAAAAAAUAUGGAGCAUGUCUCUAGGAAAGAUGUUUCUGGAUCAGUAGUAAAGAAAAUCAGAAACGAAAGCUUCCUCUAUAGUUUACCUAGAGAAACUGAUUUUGGACUCAAAAAACAAAAAGCUAAAAAUUCUGCAACUUCUAUUAUGAAAAAGGAUGAAGAUAAAACACAUCGCUGCUUAAAUACUCAACAUUAUAGAUCCGGAAGAGAUAAACAUUUGGAAUUGAAAGGAAGAUCUUUUAGUAAAGACUCGAUAAAUUUACCUGAAAGGAAUGCAGUUUCACAAGAUAAAACUUCAACCACUUGUUCGGAUUUAUUAGAAGAAGUAGAUGUUUCAUACAAUUCACAUACCAGUUUUACAAAAUAUCAAAUGUAUAGUGAACCAUGUGAAAUACCUUCGAAAGUAUCUAAAGUGAAGGAAGUUGAAAAAUCAGUAAGAAAUCUAGUUAACCAGUCGAAUCAGCAAAAUAUUCACAGAAAUUUAGCGACAGAAGAUUUCUCUUUACAAAACAAUUCAAACAAUGAAAACUCUAAAAUUCAUAGCGUUACAUUAGAUCGGAUUCAAGGAGCUAUGAAUUCUGAAUCGAAAAGAUCCAUAAACACCUCAUUAUCAGAAAUUCUUUUUGAUCCAAGAAGAAUUUCAUUCAGAGAUGAUAGUUAUUUGCAGCAGGAAGAUUUUUCGAAUUUGGUUACUCCUGACAUAAAUCUAAUGCUUCGGUCGAAAAGAAGAAAGCAGUUUCUGCAAGAAAAUUCCAAAAAUGAAGUCUAUAAAUGUUUAAAGAACAAACCAAAAGUCAUAGAGGACGAUAAUGGAGAAGGAAUUCGAUUGUUGCAUCCUAAUGCCUUGCAUAUGCAAUUUCAAGCGGAAUUAAACCUUCUUGAGUCAUUUAAUGAAUCUCUUAGUAAAAUUAUGGAUGUUGAAAGUAGCAUUUAUAAUGCAAAGCAUGCUGAAGACCAAAAACUGCUGCAAAAAGAAAAGUUAGCAAAGGAAGAGUUCAGAAAACAAUUAGAUGCUUUGCAAACUGAGAAAGAAGUAGAAUUGGAUAAUAUGGAGGCUUUAACCAUUAAACCAGCAUUUUAUGGCGAAGGAACAUGUUUAUUGGUCCCAAAAGCUUGCGAUGGAUUUAAAGCAGCAAAAAAAGACAGGAUCGCCAGUCAAAAAGAUGUUCUUAGUCAAGUAACAUCAAAACGAAAUUCUUUUGAAAAAAUGGAUAAUAAUGUAAACAAAAGUUUUAAGUCAUUAGUGAAAGUAGCGGAAGUUCAAACUCAAACUGCAAAUGAUAUUGCCACACAAACAGACUUACAAUUUUGUAAAUCUAAAAUUCUUAGUAGACUCGAAGAACUUUCUGGUAUAACUUAUCAGAGAGGCCCUUCAAGCACAUGGGACAUACCUCGAUUGUCUUUGGAGUCUUUGGGACAGGAGGAGGAUAUCGGUCAAGUAGACGACAUUUCUUUGACAAGUAAAAUAAGGGGAAUGUCGGAAAUAAGCUUACAUGAAACAACGUCAUCUAUAAAAACCGAAACUGGUACUGAAAUUAGUAUAUCUACAAGAGACGUAACUUGUUCAUUUAAUAAAGAUUUGGAACUUGAGAUGGCUCAACUCAUACAAGACGAAAAACAAAGAUAUGAUAAAAUUAAAAUGAUUUUUAAAUCACGUGAAAAAAUACUUAAUGAUCGGACGAAAAAGUUAGUUAAAUUGGAGGAGCAAAAACGGCAGUUAAGAGAUACUGGUCAAGACAGUCGAAUAAGCUCUGUGAAGAAGAAGCAACGUGCUUUAUUAUUGAAGUUGCAACAGGAAAAGGACGAAAUGAAUAGGCUAAAAGAACUUCACAAGAUUGCAAGUCAGGAGCGAAAACUAAUGUUAAAAAAACAGAGAGAUAUGUUCAAUCCUGAAAUGUCGACAAAGAAUAUUUUAACGAAACUCAAAAGAAGUGCAGACAGCCAAUCUCCUCGACGCUUAUCAGGGCCAAUGAAAGGUUACGAUAUCCGCAGCAACAGUUCUAUGAGUUCUUUAGUUGAUUCUGACAAAUCUCAAAUAGAUCGUUCACAAGUCGACGUGAAACUUCAUACGUUUAAUAUUGGUUCAAAAAAAGACGAUGAACAUUAUGUAAGACUGCAUUUUAAUGCUCUUACAUCAGAGAAAUCAGGCACGAGCAAGUUUGAAACUAUUAAAGGUGGAAAAGUUAGCGCAUCGGCUAGCUUUUGUAAACCUCAUAUGAUAAAAGCUGUAAAAAAAAGCAACUAUGAUAUUACGUCUCGAAAAUUUGAAGAAAAAAUGCCGAGGGCCGAUAUUUUACGUCAAAUUGAAUUACAUUCUCAAUUGCAACAAGGUUCUAUUGUUGAUUUACCUGUACAGAAUCAGGAAACGAAGAAUGUUGGCUGGCCACCGACGUAUCAAGAAUAUGACACCGAUUGUAUUAGAUCCAAAGAAACAAAAAGAUUUUCAUCUAUAGACGAAAUUUCACAAAUUAAUGGUAAAUGUUCAAAAAAAAUCGAAAAGUCGCUAUUAGUAGAUAAAGAUGAUUUAAAGAAGGUUCAGUGCGUUUCUGAUACCAUGUCUAGUUCCAAAAGGAAGGGAACUAAAAGUCAUAAAACAAAGUCGACAUCUAAUGUAGUUAAGGAAAAUUUUUUAAGAUCAGAGAGUGACAGUCAAGUUUGGGAAGAGGUAAAUGGACCUCAUAAUAAACGAUCAAAACUACAAGAAGAGCAAUCGAACAAUAAUUACCGAAAUUCCGUUUUGGAAGAGCUAGACUCAAAUGAAAGUCAAAGCUCUUUACGAGCCCUAUUGAAGCACUCGAAAGCAGCAAAAGAUAAAAAUUAUCAACUUUUAAGAGACUUGACUAGUGAUCGAGAAAAAAACGAAGAGCAUAAAGUUUUCGAAGCACUGGAUAAUAAAGAUAGACAAUUGGAAGACUGUUCUCAAAUGGAAGAUAAAGGUAGUGCAAAUAUGGGCAAUAUAUCAACUAGAUCGCAAGUUAGCACCUUAACAAUUUCUCAUCACAGUUCUGGUGAUAGUGAACAAAAUUACUCUAGAUCCGUUGUUAUCAGUUCACAAAAUCAUCGCUUUGAAACAUCCAAGAAACUCGAACAAAUUUUAAAUGCACGGGAAGCUGCACUUGCAUCGCGCAGAACUUGUGUGGAAGAGUGGAUCGCUUGGCAUACUAGACUUCGGGAAGAAGAAAAUCGUGUUGCACGUAUGGAACAGACUGCUUACAAUGUCGUUAAUGCUGCCUCAAAAGCUCUGUCCUGCCAUGACACUACGGUUUCAUCCGAUAUGAGCGACGUAGAAGGACGAAUAGAGGUUUUGGCACAAAAGCUAUCACAACGACGGACGGAAAUGGCCAUGCUAAAGAAAGAAGAAAAGAGGCAAGCGAAGCAGAGACUCAGAGAUAUGGAAGCGAGUUUGCUUGAUCAAAUUAAGAAAUAUGAUGCAACGAUCCAUGAGAUGCGCAAAACAUUAGAAACGAAAAAGGAAUCUGUUAGGAACACCGAGAAAUCAGCUAUCGAAUCGAAGUCAGUAAUUGAUUUCAAAGUACCUGAAAUUCCGAUCAAAAGGAUGCAUGAAAUUUACAGGAGUUCCGAUUUAUUGCAGUCUAUAUCGACACCUGAUUUAAUUAAAAAUAAGGCACGAGAAGGGAAAAGCUUAAGCACAAAUAUUUGCGAAAAUGCAUGUAAUAAGGACACAGUGCAUUUAAAGUUACAAGAGAACGUUGAGAGUAAACAGUUAAUUUUUGAAGAUGACAGUAGGAACGAGCCAAGGCAAGAUUAUACUAUGUUUAAUGAUUUUGAAAAGAAUAAUGAAGUAAAUUCCUCUAUUUCGAGACAGGAUUCUGUCCUGAACAAUGCUUUAUUUCAACAAUCUAUCAUAAAUGAGUCAAAAUCAAUCAAAAGUUCAUGUUCACAAAUCAGCGUUACAUCGAAGAGUCUGUACAUGCCAGAAAUUUCAGAAGCUAUCGACAGUAUUAGUAAUCCGACAGAGCCGGAAAUUAACGUGGCCUCUGUUGCAGAAGCCGUUCAAAGUUAUGAUGCAGAAAAUGUUUCUUUGUCGUUUUCCAGAAAAUUAGAUUACAUUGAUUUAAACAGCCAAAAUUUGAACGACGAUAUUAUCACUCUUGAAAAUGAUCUCAAAAGGCUCUCAGAAAUGAUGUUGCAGAUUAGUAACAAGUCAGUUAGUAAAGGGAAACAGCGUGAUGAGGAAGAAGAUUAUUAUUCUGAAAAAAGGACUUCUGAAGAUAUAUCGGAAUAUUUACCUGAGACUGAAUCAAUCGAACACCAAUCGAGCAAAUGCUUUUUAAAACACUUAUUAGGUGACCAAGGCGAAACUAUUAAGGGUUCGAAGAACAGUGAUAAUAAUGUAGAGGAUGACGUUAAUGAUGAUGCAGACAGAUUCCGAAAAAUGUCUGUCAAUUAUACUUCUUUGAUAAGCUCUACUCAGAAGAUUGAUUAUAAUGCAAGAAGUAAAGAAAUGCUUAAUGAAAUUGAAAAAUGUAUUAUAUCUGAUCACAUUAAGUCAUUGGAAAUUCAGUCUCAGCUCUCUGAUCAUACUUUGGAAGAAGAAAUGCAUAAUUUAAGCGAUGAAAGUCAAGUAUUCUCGAAUGAUUUAACUUCAUUGGAUGGAAACAUUAAAUUCGUAUCUGAAAUUAUAUCGAAACCUUCUCAAAAUGAAAAUACUUUUGAUAAAUCUUUAAAUGAUAUAAAAGAAAAGGAGCCGCUGAAAUAUUGUGCAGAUAACACAACAAAAUCAAGAACAAUAUCAGGGAGUUACCAAAAUUCUGCAUGUGAAUCGCCUGAAAACUGUACAACACUAGACAAUAGCAAAAUGAAUGUUAUAAACAUAAUGAUAGAUGACUUAGACAUACCUGCAAGCACUGUUUUAAAUGAAGAGAUAAAUAUCCAGAAAAAUGAUCUUCUUCAAAGCACAAUGCAAGUAUCAGAUGGCACAGGAGGAAGAGAAGCGGGAGGUUAUUCCACUCAGGUUCAAGUUGAAAGCUCAACUGAUAAGCCCCAAUAUGAAUAUAUAGAAGAACACAUCGAAAUUGAAAAGGCAUCUGUGUAUGAUGAUUGGGAAAUUUCCGAUUCCUUUGAAUUGCACAAUAUGAAAAAAAAAACUAAGCGUCAAAAGGAAGAUGAUAAUUUAUCAUGUUUAAUCGUAGUUCCAGAAGAUAAGCAACAGACGAAUUUUGAAAAAAAGGAAAAUCCUUCAAUCGAUAAAAAAAUCUUAGGUCAUCAUGAUAAUCUAACUGCAGAAAUUGAUGUUAUUGGAAACGACAUAAUGUUUAUUCCUUGGGGCGAAUCUGCAAAUAACGAAACACUUGAUGUGAGUUUUGAAAACGUAGAGCUUUAUGGUUGUUUGGAUAGAACCAAAUCUAUGGAUAAAGAGGAUGAAGAGCAAACCAACUUAACAAAGAAGCAGAUGAAUGAUCAAGAAAAUUUAAGUUCUGAGUGGAGGAAAAAAAUGAAACAGGAAAACUGUAAGGACCUUAGGAUAAAAGAGAAAGGGGAAAAUGAGUGUAAAUCAAUAAGUUUCCACGAUUCUCCAGGUACUAUAAGUAAAGAUGCUUCAUCUAUAUAUACAUCUAUAAAUUCGAUGCAACAAAUAAGAAGUAUAGUUGACAGCCAUCAACGUAAAGCAAAUGUCAACUCCCGAUUACAUGAAGCAACACCAUCAAUCAACAUUUGCUUAGAAACAGAAUGUUUGGAAGGCCAUGAUUUGAUUAAACCGAAACUCCAGUUGAGAGUCAUGUUAUCUGAUUGUUUUAAAACUGCGAGUGAAGAUAAUACUAUACAAGAAAAUAUUUUGAAGGAAAGGGUGAAAACUAGUGAAUGCUUAAGAUCCUUAGAAGAGCAAGAUAGUUCCGAAGGUGAGCAGCUUGACAAUUUAGUCGAAGUAGUUGAGGAUAAAUUGGAAACUUUGGAAACGGUGAAUGAUGGCUUUAGUUGCAAUUCAGAAAAGUUGGAAGAAAUAGGGAAAAAUAUUACAGAUAAUCAAAAAUUAUUCUCUGUGUUAAGGAAUCCACAAUAUGAAGAUAUUUCUGAGGAAAGCCUUGAAGUUUCUUUAAUUUCAGAAAAUACUGAAUCGCUUACCCCGCAAAAAGCGAUUCCCAAAAAAUAUAAAGCGGUUCGUAAAGCAGAAGAUGUUGUAAAAAUUCUUGAUGAAAUGUUAGCCAAAUCUGUAUCAGAAAUUGAUGAACUAACUGUGAAUCUUGAUAUCGAGUCACAACAACAUCAAUUAUCAAAAAACGAUUACGAAAGGAAAGCAGUUGAAGAGCAGGAAGAUAUCAGUGUAAAAGUUAGUGAAACUGAUGAUUCCUCUGAGUCCAGCGAAAGUGAUUUACAAAGAAAUACUUUUGAAAAUUCAGUAGCCUUACAAAAAGAUUCCAAUGAUUCAAGGUUAGAUAUUGACGCUUUGGAUGAUGACUUGCUAAGUGGCGUUUCGAUUCAUCAAAAUUUUGAAUCUAAUACGGAUUUUCCUGUAACACCAAUUGUUACGAACGCAGAGCAGGACAUCACAGCUAUGAUAGAUAAGUUAAAAGCCUCACUCACACAACCGGGUUUGGAAGUUGCUGAGUUGGAUGCAACGCUACUACGGAUAGAACAAUUACAAAUAGAGCUUGAGAUUAAGAUCCUAGAGGCUGAAGAAGUGUCUUACUAUGUUCGAGAGAUUCCUAAUAAACCGCCGCCUCCCUAUACACCUCCGGGCGCUGGUAUGGUUGCUGCAUCUCACAGUUCUCCUUCGCGUCCACCUGAAGUUAUUCCCAGUAAUGUAGACGAUCUUACAGCUUUUACAGAAAAAGCUACGUCUUUUAUAUUUAACGUGAAGAAAUGUGGUGAAGAUUUCGGGAGUUUAGAGGCUCCUCCCGAAAUAUGGGACAUAAGCAAAGACAGCGAAGCACUAAAAAAAGACAGAAGAAUUUAUAAUGCAUUUCUUUUUGACCUCUGCAAAGAGACUAUUACAGAAGUUUAUCGUAUAGAGCAUGAGCAGCCUGGCCCAAGUUGGAUGCGACCAAGUGUAAAAACGACACCAGUAAUAAAGGCUCCCAAUAACGUUAAUGAUUUAACCGAAUAUGUCAACAAAGAAGUUAGUACACUUUUUGGUUUUAAGACAAAACUUCAGCGUGAAAAUAUGGUAAUGCGUUGGAGUAGGAAACGUAGAGAUCGAGUCGAUGAAUUACUUGCGCGGGAAGCACAAGCUGAAGAGGAUGAGUGGACCAAGUUUCACUGUGAUGAAUUAGCCGUAAAAAAUGAGCUCACUGUAGCAAUACUGGAUAGUCUAGUCUUAGAUACAGUGAAUGUAGUUAAGACUGCUUUUACAAAAAGAUCAAAACUUACAGUCUAGCAGUUGCAUCACACCGGCUAUGCUCGAUGUUAAUCAAUAUAAAGGUAUGCAGACGAUCCAACUUCUAUCAAUUCUGCCAAGCUUGUUCCAUGUCACAACAUUUGUAGCAAACAAACAAGGAAAUACUUGGCGUCCAUCGCAAAUUGAACGGCGAAACGCUUUCUUGUGGCAAGUUGAAAGUCGCGACGAAUUGAAAAAUGAAAUUCAACGUCGCAGAGACCAACUAAAAAAACUGAAACUAACUCUGCAACCACAGGCCUUGAUAAUUGGACAUUCCAAAAGCGUCGUCAAACAGCAGUAUUUGGUGUGGAAUGUCAAUUUUGAUUUCACAAUAUUUUUCUUGUUCUUUUGUUUGAAAGUAAUUUGCGACUACUUUAUGGAAAUGAUAGGGUUUUUGCUCCUUUAAUUAAAGAGGUAAAUUUUCUAGCCAAAAAUGGUAUAAUAGUAAAAAAUCAAAAUGGAGAAACAAGAAAAAUAUACUUUCCAACUGAAUUCGGCACUGGCGACAAUUUAGGCCUUAAUGCAAUUUUUGACUUCGUGGAAAGUUUCAACGUACUCCAUUAUUGCAGAUUUUGCAGAAAUUCAAAGAAAAAAACAUUCAUAAUUUUCACGUGACUCGAAAUUCGGCAUUACAAUGUAUGCACGAUUUUGCUGAGGGAGUUGGACAUAGUGACAUGAUUCCAAUUAUCAAUCACUGCAUUAAGUGUAAAUACUUCGAUCUUGAGAAAUUGAAUGACAGAAUUGCAAAUUUUAAUUAUGGGCCAGUCGAUGUUUCGUCAAAGCCUCCUGUAAUUGUAGAAAAUCUUCUAAAGAGUUCACAUCUUAAAAUGUAUACCUUUCAAAUGUUAUGCUUCAUAAAGUAUUUUGGCCUUUUAUUUGGAGACUUAGUAUCUAUUGAAGAUACUUUUUGGCAACUUUAUAAACUAUUACGCAGAAUACUCAGCAUUGGCUUGGCAAAGACCAUAAAAAAAAAUCACUAUAAAG